ACAAACAUUCAUUCCAUAAUAAGCCACCAAUAUAUAGGUCCUCGGGGCCAGUCAUCCAACCCACCACAAGAGCUGGCAGCGUUCAGGGAAAAGAAGUAUAGUAGACUUCCAAAAGGAGAUCUGUAUGUUUGGACACCAAGAGAACAAGGGCACUGACCUUCAGGAUGGUGGAAGAGACAAUAGAGCAGAGUGGUUGAGAUCAUAGCAGUUAUGGGCAUGAGCUGAACAUGGACCCAUGGCAAAGUAGAGUUCUAGUCUAUGAGCACUGAUCCUGGAACAAAAUGUCCCCAUUUGACAGACCACUCCUGAGAAGACCGAUCUGAAAAAUAUUGAAGGCAAUGAUCUUAUAGAAUGGCAGAGGAAGGAAGAAACACGAAAACAGCAGCUCUGGGACUCACUCUUCUCUAGACAAUUGGCUUCUUGCCGGGUACCUUACAUCUAUGUUUCUAUACCCAACUUUGAUGAUAAGCUCCUAAGGAUUUCUCCCAGUCUGUUCUUCACUGAAACCACUGUAAAAUCACAGUAAAAACAAGAAUAAUGAAAAGAAGGUUACUUUGUACCCCACCUGGGUUCUAGAAUUAAAUCCAGCUCGGGUCAGAAAAAAGCCAUUGGGACCCAGUUGCUGUC